rnacentral:misc_RNA from 1 species
CAUAAAGAUGUGCCUUACAGUUUUAUCACAGUUAAGGAAUUUGCAGAGGCAUUUCAGUCAUUUCAUGUGGGACAAGGACUUUCAGGCGAGCUUUCUACUCCAUUUGACAAAGCCAAGAGCCAUCCAGCUGCUUUGGCAACAAAAAAGUACGGCGUUAGUAAUAUUCAACUGCUGAAAGCUUGCUUCUCAAGAGAGUUAUUGCUCAUGAAGAGGAACUCAUUCGUCUACAUCUUCAAGCUUACCCAACUUACAAUAAUGGCAAUGGUUGCUAUGACACUCUUCUUCCGGACUGAGAUGCACCG